GGAAAGGUGGCCGAGUUGGUCUAAGGCGCUAGACUCAAGUUCUAGUAUCGUAAGAUGCGCGAGUUCGAAUCUCGUCCUUUUCA